GAAACCUUGGAUUAGAAACCUGGAAGGAUAACCAGGGGAAGAGGAGGCAACCCUGAGAUUGCAAGAAUUGCAAGAAGCCACUGUUACCUCCAGGGCCAGCAGAGUGAUUCAGCUGCGUGAAGACAGCUGUACUUCCGAAUAAAAAUAUCUUCUGGAGGAAAAGAGUCUUUCUUAUAAGUAGAAUUGUCCCCCAAAAUUGUUCAGUUUUCAGAUUAUAGGGAAGGAAAUGAGCUCAACGGAAAAACCGAAAUAGACACACAUGAUUCCAGAGGAAUCUAAAGACAACGCUCGGAUCUGAGUUACCAGGCAACUCUCUCUCCAAGGAUGCCAUCAUUCUGAUUUUAUA
rnacentral:lncRNA from 1 species